UACGGGGGGGGGCAAGCGUUGUCCGGAAUUACUGGGCGUAAAGAGCUCGUAGGUGGUUUGUCGCGUUGUUCGUGAAAACUCACAGCUCAACUGUGGGCGUGCGGGCGAUACGGGCAGACUAGAGUACUGCAGGGGAGACUGGAAUUCCUGGUGUAGCGGUGAAAUGCGCAGAUAUCAGGAAGAACACCAGUGGCGAAGGCGGCUCACUGGCCCGGUACUGACGCUGGACGGUGCGAAAGCGUGGGGAGCAAACAGG
rnacentral:rRNA from 1 species